GAGCGCGUGGCUCAAUGGUAGAGCAAUUGUUUCAAAUACAAAAGGUCACGGGUUCGAAUCCCAGGUGUUCUCC
rnacentral:tRNA from 1 species